GCAGUAGCUCAGUCAGUAGAGCAUGAGACUCUUAAUCUCAGGAUUAUGGGUUCAAGCCCCACGUUGAGCA